rnacentral:ncRNA from 2 species
GGAACACGGUGCGAAUCCGUGGCGGUCCCGCCGCUGUGAUCGGGGAUGAGAGGCAGCCUGGAUCCGCCGCCGGGCGGAUCGGUCACUUUCGGGGCUCACCCCGGGGGGAAGGCCGCUGCCUUUCAGAUGAUCCGAGAGCCAGAAGAC